rnacentral:rRNA from 1 species
CCUACGGGCGGCAGCAGUCGAGAAUCAUUCACAAUGGGGGAAACCCUGAUGGUGCGACGCCGCGUGGGGGAAUGAAGGUCUUCGGAUUGUAAACCCCUGUCAUGUGGGAGCAAAUUAAAAAUAUAGUACCACAAGAGGAAGAGACGGCUAACUCUGUGCCAGCAGCCGCGGUAAUACAGAGGUCUCAAGCGUUGUUCGGAACCACUGGGCGUAAGGCGUGCGUAGGCUGGUACGUAAGUCGGGUGUGAAAGGCGGUGGCUCAACCCGCGGACGGCACAUGAUACUGCGUGACUAGAGUAAUGGAGGGGGAGCCGGAAUUCUCGGUGUAGCAGUGAAAUGCGUAGAUAUCGAGAGGAACACUCGUGGCGAAGGCGGGUUCCUGGACAUUAACUGACGCUGAGGCACGAAGGCCAGGGGAGCGAAAGGGAUUAGAUACCCCUGUAGUC